rnacentral:rRNA from 1 species
GAGUAACGACGUAUGCAACCUACCUAUCAGAGGGGGAACUAACCCGGCGAAAGUCGGACUAAUACCGCAUAAAACAGGGGCACCGCAUGGUGAUAUUUGUUAAAGAAAUUCGCUGAUAGAUGGGCAUGCGUUCCAUUAGGUAGUUGGUGAGGUAACGGCUCACCAAGCCGACGAUGGAUAGGGAACUGAGAGGUUGGUCCCCCACACUGGUACUGAGACACGGACCAGACUCCUACGGGAGGCAGCAGUGAGGAAUAUUGGUCAAUGGGCGGGAGCCUGAACCAGCCAAGUCGCGUGAAGGAAGAAGGAUCUAUGGUUCGUAAACUUCUUUUGCAGGGGAAUAAAGUGCAGGACGUGUCCUGUUUUGUAUGUACCCUGAGAAUAAGGAUCGGCUAACUCCGUGCCAGCCGCGGC